CAGGAAUAUGUACAACUGAUGACAUGACUUACACUGAAGAAAUCCAAAUGAGAACCUCACCCUUCUGGGUACUGAGAACAACCAACUGAAGCUGCACUUAACUGCAAUACUGGAUAACUUCACCUUGUUGUCUGCUGAAAAUACACAGCUAAACCUGCUCUUGACCAAAACAU